GGCGGUGUGGCCUAGUCGGUACAGUGUUCGUUUUAAUAAGAAGGUCGUGGGUUCAAUCCCCACUCUCUCAUCUUCA
rnacentral:tRNA from 1 species